ensembl:lncRNA
GGUCUCCGGGCCUAGGCAGGGCUGACUUAGAGCACCCAGACCACAUGGGUGUGUGUCCGCACAAGCGGAAGGGGGUGACACGGCACACUAACACAUGAAAUUUCAGCAGGGGGCGUCCAUUGCCCGAGAGCCUGCAGUCAUCGCGGGAACAACUGUUCGGUGGGAACCAAUCGAGGGGCAGGACCAGGCUGAGUGUGCGCAGGCGCUCUGCCUAUGCUGAGCUGCAGGUCGCAGUACACGCCUGGGUUCUGUAGGGGGGGUUCAGUCCUUCCCACUCCACAGGUUGGGGGAGAGGGUUCAAGAUGGAGUCCGACACGCACAGUGGAGGAGCCAGCAGGCCAGCAGAUGAAGACCCAGGUGCCGUGGAAUUUGCAACGGGCACAGCACAGGGCAGCUGCAGCAAGCCUGGUGGCGCUGGUGGCCAGGAUGACCCUAGAGACCCAGCUUGCCCUGGUUACGCCGUGAGUCGUGGAGUUCAUGGAGGCGCUCGUGUCCUGGCUGGUCCCAGAAGCCCCAGCGCUGCAGGAGAGUCAGGUGGCGCAGCCGGCGCCAUUCCGCAGAUCCCGGGGCCAUCACACGCUCCAGGGCCUGGUGAAGGCGCUGCACCUGGAGCUGCAGUUCUGAGUAACCGAAUCCUCCAG